rnacentral:lncRNA from 1 species
AAGUUCAAGAGCAACACCACAUACUACCAGUCUUGCAGAUGGCAUAGAAAUAGCAUCAAGAAACCCCAGUCACAAAAAUACAAAUCUCUUAAGGUGGCAGGGGUGGAGGGCGUUAACCUCAAGUGUCUAAGAAACAUGUGCUUUGCCAAGAAGCACAACAAGAAAGGCCCAAAGAAGAUGCAGGCUCGCAACACAAAGGCGGUGCGUGCACACGCGGAGGCAUCAAGGCUCUAGAGAAGCCUAAGGCCGUCAAGCCCAAGAUGCCAAAGGGCCCCAUUCAGAAACUCAGCCGUCUUUAUUUCAUCUCGCACCCCAAGCUUGGGAAGCAGAUUCGAAGCUAAGUGGCCAAGCAUCGCAGGCUCUGCCAACCAAAGCCCAAGGUUCAAACCAAGGCAGAGGCCGAAGCUCCAGCUAAGGCCCAGGCUUCAGCUCCAGCUCGGGCUCCCAAAGGUGCCCAGGUCCCUGUGAAGGCCCCAUAGAAAAGGCUCCU